CGACCAGACUCCUACGGGAGGCAGCAGUGGGGGAUAUUGCACAAUGGGGGAAACCCUGAUGCAGCGACGCCGCGUGGGCGAAGAAGUAUUUCGGUAUGUAAAGCCCUAUCAGCAGGGAAGAAGAAAUGACGGUACCUGAGUAAGAAGCACCGGCUAAAUACGUGCCAGCAGCCGCGGUAAUACGUAUGGUGCAAGCGUUAUCCGGAUUUACUGGGUGUAAAGGGAGCGCAGGCGGCACGGCAAGCCUGAUGUGAAAGCCCGCGGCCCAACCGCGGGACUGCAUUGGGAACUACCGGGCCGGAGUGCCGGAGAGGUAGGCGGAAUUCCUAGUGUAGCGGUGAAAUGCGUAGAUAUUAGGAGGAACACCAGUGGCGAAGGCGGCUUACUGGACUGUAACUGACGUUGAGGCUCGAAAGCGUGGGGAGCAAACAGGAUUAGAUACCCCCGUA
rnacentral:rRNA from 1 species